AAACCAAAAAGGCCCUGGAGGCUUCCAAGGAAAUGUCUCUGUUGCAAUACUUUGGCUGCAAGAUAUUUUCUUCUGUCCCCAGCCAGAAGGAGCAAUCCUGGUGCUUAAAUAAAAAGGCAUGAAGGCCCAAAGUGGCUCUUGACUUGCCAAGGCAGUAUUACAGAGAAUUAAGCCCUACCUUAGGGCAUGCCAGGAGCCUGCUGGAGGUGUCAGUGUUACUGGAAAAGAGGCCCAACCCAGACCCCAAGAGAAGGUUCUUGGAACUCGUACAAGAAAGAAUUCUGGGAGGUGCUGGCCAUUCCAGGUACCAUGAGGCCAAUGAAAUCAAUGUUCUGUCCUUUCCUUCAUGGUACUGACUGAAGAUCUUUAUCUGAUGUGUUGGAUCACAGGCACAGGCAGGGACAAGAGACAACUUCUACACAUGUCCCAGCCUCUGCUUCACUGGGAACAAGAAGUUGCUCUGAAGUAGACCCCUGAGCAACACAGGUAUAUGAGGAUUUUCCUCCGCCUCGGCCACCCCUGAGACAGCAAGAUCAAUCCUUCCUCUUCCUCCUCUUCCUCCACCUCCUCAAUGUGAAGAUGAUGAGAAUGAAGACCUUGAUGAUGAUCCACUUCCACUUAAUGAAUAGUGAAUCCAUUUCCUCCUCCUUAUGAUUUUCCUAAAAGCAUUUUCUUUUCUCUAGCUUGCUUUAUUAGAAGAAUACCAUAUAUAAUACAUAUAAACAUACACGAUAUGUAUUAAUUUACUGUUUAUAAUAUUGGUGAGGUUUCUGGCCAAGAUUUCUUCCCAGUUCUGACAUUAAAAAAUGCUUCCUGAACACAUGUUGUUCAAGGAUCCACUGUAUAUUAAUUAUAUAAUGUAUAUAUUUAUAAAGUAUAAAUUAAUAUAACUAUAUUAUGAAUUAAAAAUUUAUAAUAUAAUAAAGUAAUAAUUUAUAGAAA
rnacentral:lncRNA from 1 species